rnacentral:misc_RNA from 1 species
GUAUUAUGAUUUCUUGCAUCCAUCUCUCAUGAUUUCUGUAGAAUGGUUAUUAAAAUUUAAUGCUUAUCUUGUUUUCCAACUUUGAAGUCAACCAAAUGUGGUUGGUACUUAUAUGAAACAGUUGUAUGCAUUGGUUCAUACUUCAUUGAAGUUUAUAUACCAUCUUUUAAAAGUUGAAGGGAGUUUGCUAUACACUUCACUGUUAGACUCCAUUUUUUGAGUUAACACUUUGUCUUGGUUUCCAAAAGGGAAGCAGGACGGCAAGACCAGAGAAGUUGAUUGUUUACUUCCUUUAUAUGAAGUAUUGGUGAUGAUUAUCCACUUGUUUGACAAGUAAAAGUAAUGUAUGACCCUACUAGGGAAUGACCCUUGUAAAUAAUGAUCUAAAAAAUUAGUUAGUUUGGAAGAUAGAAGUGCUUAGGUAUAACAGCUUUGAGCUGUCGAGUGACGAUUGGCCGAAUUGUAGAAAUAUAAAAGACAAUUCUGGGCGUCCUAUGCUGGAAAUAGACACAGAGCACUGAGCUGAGGAAGUAACUUGUAAACACAAAGUCAUAAGCUUUUUGGAAGCUCAAGAUUGUUGGUUCACUGUCCAUGCUUAUACAUGCUAAACCUUGAGUUAAAUGCUUAAUAUUCCAGCCUCAAUGGUUCUCUUUCCUUUUCUGGUCAUAUUCUUCAUAAUCCUUUAAAUGCACCAGGACCGGAUGGAAAGAUAUGGACCUAUGUUGCGAGGGUUGAUUCUUCAUUUUAUGAUAUACAGUUCGAAUCCAAUUUCUUCUCUCAAGUAUUCCGAGCUCAUGAACUUUUUAAAGAUUUUUAUUCAUUUAUUUUUACUGAAAAAUAUUCUAGUUUCCAGGGAUUAUGACAUUGUGAACUGUUACCAAGACCAAUAACCG